UGAAAUAAAGUGACAUGGACAAUUUUGGUUUUGAUGUUUAAUGAGUAUCAAAACUAGGAUUGUCUAUGCCAUUGUGUUUC
ensembl:miRNA aca-mir-9573 aca-mir-9573